rfam:Erinaceus europaeus unplaced genomic scaffold scaffold01227, whole genome shotgun sequence
UCUGCUCCUAGAAGUAUUACAGAUGCUGUGCCAUGUGUGUCAUUAUGUAGCAGACAAAAGAGACACU